UACGUAGGGGGCAAGCGUUGUCCGGAUUUAUUGGGCGUAAAGAGCGUGUAGGCGGUUUGGUAGGUCCGCUGUGAAAACUCGAGGCUCAACCUCGAGACGCCGGUGGAAACCAUCAGACUAGAGUCCGGAAGAGGAGAGUGGAAUUCCUGGUGUAGCGGUGAAAUGCGCAGAUAUCGGGAAGAACACCCGUGGCGAAGGCGGCUCUCUGGGACGGUACUGACGCUGAGACGCGAAAGCGUGGGGAGCGAACAGG
rnacentral:rRNA from 1 species